rnacentral:misc_RNA from 1 species
UUUAUGUUUAAUCCUUCUCUUGUCACGUGACGUGUAAAAAACACAUCUCCUAAUUUUUAACCUGCAGUCCUUUUGUAGUCCAUGUUAAGGGUUGUCCGUAUGUGUGUUUACAGGGUUUUGCCACACACGAAGGCAACCCUCAUCUCUUGAAUACCAAUGUCAAGACUUUGAAAAGAGAUGGCUUUGGAGAGAAGAAGGUGUUCGAUUGUUUCGUGGCAGAAGAGACACAAUCAACAGUUAGCCCUGUCCUGGGGUUGUGGAUAUAUGCAGUGGAUGGCCAAACGAGGGAACACAAGCGGUAUCAACUUCUACAAACAAUUAGGUGCUUUGGAAACAAACACGAAUAACCUCAUGACAUUCACGUUAGACGAAG